GGCCCAGAUCGUUUACCGUGAAAAAAUUCGGAGUAGUUCAAAGCAGGCAGAUUCAAUUUUCUGCCACCGAAUACAUUAGCAUGGGAUAAUGGAAUAGGACCCUGUCCUCCUUUUUUCAGUUGGUUAAUUCAUGCAAGAGAGGAACAGGGUAAUGAUUAAUAGGGAUAGUUGGGGGCAUUAAUAUUUAAUUGUCAGAGGUGAAAUUCUUGGAUUUAUGAAAGAUUAACUUCUGCGAAAGCAUCUGCCAAGGAUGUUUUCAUUAAUCAAGAACGAAAGUUAGGGGAUCGAAGACGAUCAGAUACCGUCGUAGUCUUAACCAUAAACGAUGCCGACCAGCGAUUAGGAGACGUUGAAUACAAAACACCUCUAUAUAUAAUUCAGUAUAUGAUCAGUCAAAUGGUUGUAUAUUGUUUGUAUAUAGUUACGGUGAAUGACUCCCCUAGCAGCUUGUGAGA
rnacentral:rRNA from 1 species